UACGGAGGGGGCUAGCGUUGUUCGGAAUUACUGGGCGUAAAGGGCUCGUAGGCGGCCAACUAAGUCCGACGUGAAAUCCCAAAGCUUAACUUUGGAACUGCGUCGGAUACUGGAUGGCUUGAAUUCGGGAGAGGGAUGCAGAAUUCCAGGUGUAGCGGUGAAAUGCGUAGAUAUCUGGAGGAAUACCGGUGGCGAAGGCGGCAUCCUGGACCGACAUUGACGCUGAUGAGCGAAAGCUAGGGGAGCAAACGGG
rnacentral:rRNA from 1 species